ACCUCAGCACCCAGCUGGGGAGUGUGACUCAGCCUCGUGUAAGAUUGGUCUCCCACAAUCAGCCCUUCCUGCACUAUUACAGUGAGAGAUGCAGGGCAGAGUCUCGGGCACUGUGGGCAGAGAAAGUCCCAGGAGCCAAGAUCUGGAACACAGAUCUUGGCAGGAAGUGGGAAGAAGUGGGAAGAACUAAGACUUGGCAGGAAGUGGGAAGAACCUCAGAAUGACCCUGGCUGAUAUCAAUGCCCUGCAGAAGCAGAAAGAAGGUGAGUGUGGGUGGAGGCAAGCGUGAUGUGAGGCUUUCUGCAGGAAGGCUGGUUGCAGAGAGCAGGGACUUCUCUUCUCACUGCAUUUGUCUGAGAAGGGCAAGCAAUGGGGUCUGUGGAGCUCAACAUAAGGAGCAUUGAAGAGAGAGAGCCAUGUUGGGGUCCUCUGUGGGCUGGAGUUUCUACCAGGUGGGCAGGGAGGCAGAGAGGUCAGUGGAUGUAGAAGUGACUGGUGGGUGGGGGCAGGGUUUCAUUCCCUCCAGGAGACUAGGGGCUGUGAGAUGCAAAAGAACAACCACACAAGGGGCUUCUGGGGUUUCUACUAUGAUGAGGAGCCCUUUCUCUCCAAUUACCCAGACACUCAAAGCUGGAUGAUGUACCCUUCCUCCACUCAGACUUUGGCUAUGGAAGUCAAGACGCCAUGGAAAUCAGAUGAUAGUCCAAGCAAGGCUUACUGGGCCCUCAGGCUGGGAAAAGUUUGUGGAAGAUUCUCUAUAUAUCUGAACUCCUGGAUAUCCUUCAAUGAGAUAAUAUCCCACAUUCCUCUGUGCCUUGAUCUAGAGGACCUCCUCUGUAGUAUGGGAUGCUUGUGUUUUCUGUUGCGAUGUAUUCAGAUUUCCCUGUCCUGUUAAACCACUGGAUAAAGACAGGAGGUUGUGGCUACAUAUGAACUGUCUGGGCCAUAACCAGGAAGCACCCUGAGCCUCAGGAGACUGGGGUAAGGGAGGAGUUGAGGCCUCUUCUGUCCACCUGUCUGCCAACCCUAUUAUCAUGCAGAGCUCCCUUAUGGCCUCAAAACAAGGAAUCCCUGUAACACCCCCUCCUCACCCUCAACAUGUGGAAGUGAGAAUGUGAGGCCACAAACCAAAGUAUAGUGCUCCUGCCAGUCAGAGAACUGAUGCCCUCUGCUGAAAACAGAUUUGAAGCAGGCCUAGUGCCAAUGAGGACUUUGGCCACAAAUAGAAGAGUAGAGAAAACCAGCCCUGUUCCCUCUGCCUCUUUUAGAGGGGAGUGAGGUUUGAUCCCAUGCUUGACUGGUUCUGCUUUUUCUUCUACAGUGUCCCCCACAGUGACUGUGACCUGUGGUGAGGCCUUGGAGAAUACCAUCAAUGUGACAGGUUGGACUUUUGGCUUCUAUCCCAAGAUUAUCUCUCUGACCUGACACUGGGAUGGGGAACCCCUGAGCCAGGAGACACAGCAGUCUGGGAGUUUCUUUCCCUAUGGGAAUGGGACCUACCAGACCUGGGUGUCCACCAGGAUUCCUCAAGGACAGGAGGAGAGAUUCAGCUGCCCCGUGGGACCCAGCAGGAAAGACAGCACUGGCACUGUGCCCUGUGGGUCGACCCUGCCACUUCACAGCUGAUGGAGUGCCUUUCUGACUGUGGUUGCUGCUGUUGAUGCUGUUCUACUUCUUCGUGCAAGAAGAGGAAGACAACUUCUGCUGUGAAUGGUUCAGCUCAGGAGCUCACAAGUCCUGAAUCAUCAGCAGAUGGUGAAGAGGAACCAUAACAGCACUGUGCAGCUGAGGCCAACCAUCCAGGGUGAUGCUAUGGGGCACAUCUGCCCUGAAGAGUUGGAGCUCUCAUGUGAUAAAAAACUGGAAUGUCACAUUGGACGAUGGGACAGGGUUGGAGCUUUGGGGGGUAUCCUGGUGCUGAGUAAUAGGAGUCAGUCUGCUUAUGGAAAAAAGUGACUGGCAGGUGCUUAUGGACUGAGAUUAUGAGAGUAAGUGACCAGAAU